rnacentral:sRNA from 1 species
UUCAUUAGAAGUAACGAGUUGACACAAGGUAAAUCUAACAUCGAGGUGCCAUUCUCUCGGUGCGCGGAGAAGCCUCAUUAAAUGUCGCUAACAAGCCGUGCAGAUGCACUGAUUGGACAGCUCCUGUAUAAUUCUGCAGCCCUAGCAGGAUGUCCACUUAAUGGG